CUACGUGCCAGCAGCCGCGGUAAUACGUAGGGUGCAAGCGUUAAUCGGAAUUACUGGGCGUAAAGCGUGCGCAGGCGGUUUGCUAAGACCGAUGUGAAAUCCCCGGGCUCAACCUGGGAACUGCAUUGGUGACUGGCAAGCUAGAGUAUGGCAGAGGGGGGUAGAAUUCCACGUGUAGCAGUGAAAUGCGUAGAGAUGUGGAGGAAUACCGAUGGCGAAGGCGGCCCCCUGGACAAAGACUGACGCUCAGGUGCGAAAGCGUGGGGAGCAAACAGGAUUAGAUACCCUGGUAGUCCACGCCGUAAACGAUGUCGACUUGGAGGUUGUGCCCUUGAGGCGUGGCUUCCGGAGCUAACGCGUUAAGUCGACCGCCUGGGGAGUACGGCCGCAAGGUUAAAACUCAAAUGAAUUGACGGGGGCCCGCACAAGCGGUGGAGCAUGUGGUUUAAUUCGAUGCAACGCGAAGAACCUUACCUACUCUUGACAUCCAGA
rnacentral:rRNA from 1 species